rnacentral:sRNA from 1 species
CCCAUUCGCAAGGGCCCAACCUCCUCCCAACGGGCCCGAGCGACCAGAGCCUGCGAACCCUCCUCCCAUCGCAGGCUUCCAAACAGCACCCGCCGGUCCUCCCCCGGCGGGUGUUGUCG